AGAAUGAAGAAGAACUGCUUUUCUACCUAAAAGUGACACCAAAAAGACAAAACCCACCUGAAUACCGAUAUGAAAUAAUCUUCAUAUUCGACUCUUCAACAACAACUGAUGUUGAUUCUUCAAAUACAAUCAUGAAACUAGAUCAAAUGUUGUUGAAAUUAUGAACCAUUUUGAAAAGGUCAACCGCAAGUACUACUAAAAUCUUAACAAUUAUUUCCCUAUACUUCAACACAUUACACUCAAAUACAAUUUGCAUAUUCUAGGAUGUGGAUACACAACUGAACAAUCUCAUACGGAUUGAGAAUGAAGAAGAACUGCUUUUCUACCUAAAAGUGACACCAAAAAGACAAAACCCACUUGAAUACCAAUAUGAAAUAAUCUUCAUAUUCGACUCUUCAACAACGAUUGACGUUGAUUCUUCAAAUACAAUCAUGAAACUAGAUCAUUCUCCUGCAACCAGUGAUAUUAACAAUUCAAGCACAAUUGACGAUAGUUCAAACAAAACAUUCACAAAAGGUAAAGACAAGACGUACAUCACAGAUAACCAAGUUUCCAUAAACACCAACGAAACACCUAUACCAAAUGCAAAGAGGGCUCUCUUUCAAAUUCAAGACAGGAAAACUGAAAUUCAUGCAAAGAAGAAAAUGAAGACUGAUGUAAACUAUGGACUCGAUGAACAUAUCAAUGUUCUUACCUCUGAAAAAAACCUCGAGUGAGAAUUCACGUUUGUUUUUGGACAGUAGGCAAUCCAACAGUGUGCCACUUCUAUAGUUCUAAAUAAUAGCAACCUAAUCUACAAAUCUGCAGCAAACUCAUGUUGAGUUUUCGGUUAAGACUCAAUUAUAUGGUGAAUUUGAGUUUCAAAGUUGAAAAGGUUGCUUUAAAUAUUUUGGUAUCUCUUUUGUUGUUACGAAUGUAAAUACUCUAAAAUCACAGAACUCUACUUGGUUGCCACUAAUGUAUCAAACUUGUUUUGUUGUCAAUAAAG
rnacentral:lncRNA from 1 species